UAGCUCAGUUGGUAGAGCAGUUGGCUUUUAACCAAUUGGUCGAAGGUUCGAAUCCUUC
rnacentral:tRNA from 1 species